GGAGGGAUGGCAGAGUGGUCGAAUGCACCGGACUUGAAAUCCGGCAGGGGCGCAAGCCCCUCGUGGGUUCGAAUCCCACUCCCUCCGCCA
rnacentral:tRNA from 1 species